rnacentral:rRNA from 1 species
CAGUAGCCGCGGGAAAACGAAGGGUGCAAGCGUUACUCGGAAUUACUGGGCGUAAAGCGUGCGUAGGUGGUGGUUUAAGUCCGUUGUGAAAGCCCUGGGCUCAACCUGGGAAUUGCAGUGGAUACUGGAUCACUAGAGUGUGGUAGAGGAUAGUGGAAUUUCCGGUGUAGCAGUGAAAUGCGUAGAGAUCGGAAGGAACAUCUGUGGCGAAGGCGACUAUCUGGGCCAACACUGACACUGAGGCACGAAAGCGUGGGGAGCAAACAGGAUUAGAUACCCCUGUAGUCCCUGUCUCUUAUAC